UGGGGAAUAUUGCACAAUGGGCGCAAGCCUGAUGCAGCCAUGCCGCGUGUGUGAAGAAGGCCUUCGGGUUGUAAAGCACUUUCAGCGGGGAGGAAGGCGAUAAGGUUAAUAACCUUGUCGAUUGACGUUACCCGCAGAAGAAGCACCGGCUAACUCCGUGCCAGCAGCCGCGGUAAUACGGAGGGUGCAAGCGUUAAUCGGAAUUACUGGGCGUAAAGCGCACGCAGGCGGUCUGUCAAGUCGGAUGUGAAAUCCCCGGGCUCAACCUGGGAACUGCAUUCGAAACUGGCAGGCUAGAGUCUUGUAGAGGGGGGUAGAAUUCCAGGUGUAGCGGUGAAAUGCGUAGAGAUCUGGAGGAAUACCGGUGGCGAAGGCGGCCCCCUGGACAAAGACUGACGCUCAGGUGCGAAAGCGUGGGGAGCAAACAG
rnacentral:rRNA from 1 species